GGAAGCGUCAGCCAAUGGGAGAGCGCAGACACAGAGGCGGUCCGGUGGGAGUGCUUUCGCGGGGAGUUGAAAAAAAAAAGCAGGGCUGCAGUCCAGCUAAUCCAUCAAUGGCUCGCUGUUAAUGGAAAGCUCAAGAAUCUAAUGGUUGCUCAGUCCCACAAGGCUGGAUGUCUCAGCUGGUCUUCUGUGUAUGCUGGAGUCCUGAAGAAGUAGCUCCAAAUGCCAGCAAAGGAAUGGAUGCGCUAGCAAGGCGAGGGCAAGCAGGCCAAGAACAAGAGCUUCCUUCUUCCGUGUCCUUAUAUAGGCUUCCAGCAGAAGGUGUAGCCUAGACAGAAGGGCUAGAGCGAUGACUCAGCCAGUAGACGCUUUUGCUGGCGAGCCUGAGGAACUGAGUUUGAUCUCUGGACCCAUAUUGUCGAAGGAGAGAAUGAACACCUGAAAGUUGUCCUCUGAACUCGACAAGUGAGAAGUGGUGCACA